rnacentral:rRNA from 1 species
CCUACGGGUGGCAGCAGUGAGGAAUAUUGGUCAAUGGGCGGGAGCCUGAACCAGCCAAGUCGCGUGAGUGAAGAAGUAUUUCGGUACGUAAAGCUCUAUCAGCAGGGAAGAAAAUGACGGUACCUGACUAAGAAGCCCCGGCUAACUACGUGCCAGCAGCCGCGGUAAUACGUAGGGGGCAAGCGUUAUCCGGAUUUACUGGGUGUAAAGGGAGCGUAGACGGCAGCGCAAGUCUGAAGUGAAAUCCCAUGGCUUAACCAUGGAACUGCUGUGGAAACUGUGCAGCUGGAGUGCAGGAGAGGUAAGCGGAAUUCCUAGUGUAGCGGUGAAAUGCGUAGAUAUUAGGAGGAACACCAGUGGCGAAGGCGGCUUACUGGACUGUAACUGACGUUGAGGCUCGAAAGCGUGGGGAGCAAACAGGAUUAGAUACCCGGGUAGUC